UCUACAUUUAUGGAAGCCAAGUAGUGGUUUUCUUAUGGCCAAUGAUGUUGCAGGUGUUAACCUCGAGAAAUCUUGUCCCUGCAUUACCCUAACAAAAAAUGACUCUUAUAUCAUGUCUGCUUGUGGCGGAAAAGUUUCAUUGUUCAAUAUACUCACCUACAAGGUUAUGGCUACAUUCAUGUCAACUCCACCAGUACCGACCUUCGUAGCAUUUUAUCCUCGAGACUAUAUAUAACAUCGUAUCUGUUGGAAUGUAGAAUUUGACAUGUGAUGCCAUGCCUGCUGCACAAUAUAUAGAGUUCUACUUGUGUGUGCACUGCGUGAUUCAGAAGCAGUUAGUUGCAAAGGAAAAAAAAAGUUGUUUGCUCCAUGUAAAUAAAUUAUUAUGUGUAGAUGUA